rnacentral:rRNA from 1 species
UACAGAGGGUGCGAGCGUUGUCCGGAAUUACUGGGCGUAAAGCGCACGUAGGCGGACUACUAAGUCAGGGGUGAAAUCCCGGGGCUCAACCCCGGAACUGCCUUUGAUACUGAUAGUCUCGAGUCCGGAAGAGGUGAGUGGAAUUCCGAGUGUAGAGGUGAAAUUCGUAGAUAUUCGGAGGAACACCAGUGGCGAAGGCGGCUCACUGGUCCGGUACUGACGCUGAGGUGCGAAAGCGUGGGGAGCAAACAGG